UAGCUCAGUCAGUUGAGCUUGGCGCUAACAACGCUAAGGUCGCGGGUUUGAUUCCUGU
rnacentral:tRNA from 1 species